AAAGCCUCAAAGUGCAGCAGGCUUGGUUUCUGUCAAAGCUGCCUGAAUGGGGUGUGCAGCCAAUGAGGAAACAGAACAGAAUAUGGCUUGCUGAGCCAUCCAGCUCUUCACAGAUCAAUCCCAAUCCUACUACAAAUGGUGUCCUUACCAAAACCAGCCAGAAGAGCACAUGUGACCAGGAAGCCCCAGUGACUGGACAUGCUCAGGGUCCAGCUGCUAUGACAGUGAGAGCGUUCUGCUGAAGGCCCUGCUGGAGUUGACGUGAAACGAGCCGUGCAGCUUGUUGGAGCUCACACCAGAUUUCCUCCUUUCCCUGUCCUGUUGUGUGUACACCAUUAACCUGGGUGAGCUUAUUCCAGUCAGAGGACCUGGAACUGGAGAGGACAAGGAAGUAUUUUAUCACACCAUAUGGCUAUGCUGCUGAGACUUUGUUCUUAGGAGCCAAAGGAUACCCUGUCCUUACUUCCAACCAGGCAGAAAAGCCAUCCCUAGCCCUUCCAAGGGGUGAGAGCCCAGCAGAGCCUAGAGGAGGAGAGGUGAGUCAGAAGACGGAUCAAAUGAGAGACCCCAACAUCUCCGGAGUAACCUGCUCUCAGGAGCUGACUCUUCUGCCGAGGUCAGAGAUGAUCAGACACAUCUGAAUUGCAAUCAGAGAUAAACAGAGCACUGGGGCCUCUCAAGUCACCAGAGAAUAUGGCAGAGCGACUGGCAGCUACAAGGAUCCCAUUUAUGCGUUACGAUGCAGUUCUAUUCUUCAAUAGCUCACUCCAAACAAGGAAAUUAAAUUAAGCACUGUUUAAAAUGCCUCAGAUAAUAAUAUAAAUUUGUACUGAAUGAAUUUAGUGUCAUUUCCUUGUUUGGAAUGGAAGGUGAGAAAACACGAGAGCGGAGGAAAGAGUAAAUAGCGAACUCGAUUAAUCCUCCUGGAAGAGAACGGAGCCACACGAGCGACUUUUGUGUCUGUUUGGUUAAUAUUUUCCUGAAAAUUGUUAUUAGCUCUAACUGAUCCAAAUCAAAACCCACCGUAUAACGUUGCCAACAACUUAAUAGCUGGAGCGCAGGCCGGAAGGCUUGCCGUGGCGCCGCAGCGGAAGCGAAGGGGGCACGGGUGUGCUGGAGUUUGAGAUUAAAACCUGUCAGAGAAAGGCUGAAGCCAAGUAGAGAGCUGGGCUGGUCCUGAGAGAAAAGGGUCAGGACUGUGGCCUGGAGGCGAUACAGGGUCUGUUCCACUAGUGCGUGGCUUUUUGUGACUUGUGAAGGACAGGCAGGGAUGGUAAGCCCCACAAGGGGCUAAGUGAGGUGGAAUACACUUGUCUCCCGGAACUGGAGAGCUGAGGCCAGCCUGGGCCACAGAGUAAGCCUUUGCUUCAAAACAAAUGAGACAAAAACCAGCUAAUAACAAGAGAAUGUCCAGCUCUGCCCACCAAGAGCCAUGGUUAUAGUAGCUGUCAUCUUCCCUGGGAGCAAGGAAGCCUGGGGAGACAAGAGGCGUGUCCCACUUACUCCCAGCCUUCGGGACUCUCUUUGUUGUGGAGGGCUUUUGCCUUCAACUUGAGGAGGCAGGACUCUUUUCCGUUUCCUUUCAAGGAGCAAGGAGAGAAGCUAAGAACAGAUGUCCAGGCUGCAUUGAGGCCUUCGGCU
rnacentral:lncRNA from 1 species